rnacentral:lncRNA from 1 species
GCUUAGGAAGAUGAAAGCUUCUACUUCCUUUUUCUUGGAACACUUGCUGGUGAAACAGUCUUGCUUGGAACCUGGCUACCAUGCCAAGAGGAAGCCCAGCCCCUUCAUGUUUGAAAGAGGGGAUUGAAUGGAAUUGCUGUGUUUCCGGAAGAACGUGCAUCUUGCAAGAAGCCCUGGAAUCUGCUGCCCGGCACAGAAUGUCGGUCAGGGUUGAACCCCUCUCUCUCCGGCUUUGCUUGGCUUUCCUUUCACCACCUGUUACCUCAUUUCAUUCAGAAUUCCUGUUGGUUUCUGCGCUGGAAUCCCUGAUUUUCCUCAAGUGUGGAAAACACAGCACUGAUGAGAUACCAGUUGCUUUUCAGCGGUAAACUGACAGACUUCACAGGUCAGCAGAGGGACUCAUUUCAUCGUUGUGCCCCGGGAUCCGGGCUGAUAGAGUCUCCAUUUCAACCAUUACAGAGGAAGGAAAAGAACUAUAGCAAAUCCCUCACUGUCUCUUCAAGCUUCUCCCCGGAAGAGACCCGUGUUAUUCCACUCCCUUUUCAUUGAAAAAAGCAAGUCACAUGGAAAGCAAGU